UAAAACGUAGGAGACAAACGUUAUCCGGAGUUACUGGGCGUAAAGGGCGUGCAGGCGGUCUGUUAAGUCUGGCGUGAAAGCUCUCGGCUAAACCGGGAGAGGUCGUUGGAUACUGACGGACUAGAGGACGGUAGAGGCGUGUGGAAUUCCGGGUGUAGUGGUGAAAUGCGUAGAGAUCCGGAGGAACACCAGUGGCGAAGGCGACACGCUGGGCCGUACCUGACGCUAAGACGCGACAGCAUGGGGAGCGAACGGGAUUAGAAACCCCGGUAGUCCAUGCCGUAAACGAUGCCAGCUAGGUGUUCAAGACGCGCAAGCGGCUGGGGUACCGAAGCAAACGCGAUAAGCUGGCCGCCUGGGGAGUACGGUCGCAAGGCUA
rnacentral:rRNA from 1 species